GACGAACGCUGGCGGCGUGCUUAACACAUGCAAGUCGAACGGACAGGCCCUGCUUUUGUGGGGUGCUCGAGUGGCGAACGGGGGAGUAACACGUGAGUAACCUGCCCUUGACUUUGGGAUAACAUCAGGAAACAGGGGCUCAUACCGGAUAGGAGCUCCUGCAGCGUGGUGGGGGAUGGAGAGUUUCGGCGGUUGUGGAUGGAUUAGCGGCUUCUCAGCUUGUUGGUGGGGUAGGGGCUUACCAGGGCUGCGACGGGUAGCCGGCCUGAGAGGGUGACCGGCCACAUUGGGACUGAGGGACGCCGCAGACGCGUACGGUAGGCAGCAGGGGGGAGCAUUGCACAAUGGGGGGAAGCCUGUGGCAGCAACCCUGCGUGCGUGAUGACGUCCUUCGGGUUGUAAACCGCUUUCGCCGGUGACGAAGCGUUAGUGACGGUAAUUGGUAAAGAAGCACCGGCUAACUACGUG
rnacentral:rRNA from 1 species